AACGAACGCUGGCGGCGUGUUUAAGACAUGCAAGUCGCACGGGAUCACAUGAGUAGCAAUACAAGUGUGGUUUAGUGGCGCACGGGUGAGUAACACGUGAAUUACAUGCCCUUCAGAGGGGAAUAGCCCAGGGAAACUUGGAUUAAUACCCCAUGGUCUCGCAAGAGUAAAGGUGGCCGCAAGGCUGCCGCUGAGGGAUUGGUUCGCGCCCUAUCAGCUUGUUGGCGGGGUAACGGCCCACCAAGGCUACGACGGGUACCUGGUCUGAGAGGACGAUCAGGCACACUGGAACUGAGACACGGUCCAGACACCUACGGGUGGCAGCAGUCGAGAAUAAUUCACAAUGGGGGCAACCCUGAUGGUGCAACGCCGCGUGGAGGAUGACGGUCUUCGGAUUGUAAACUCCUGUCAUCCGGGAGUAAGACCUGGGAGUUAACAGCUCACAGGGUUGAUAGUACCGGAAGAGGAAGGACGGCUAACUUCGUGC
rnacentral:rRNA from 1 species